AUCCGAUUCAACAAUAUUUUUAAGAGUCACGCCUCCACCUAAAUGAGUGGAUAGGUGGAUUUACAGUGGUAUGUAUAAGAGUAUAACAUUUUAUUUCCCUACAAAAAAUUUUCCCUACUUACCACCACCGCGUCCACCUAUCUUAAUGAUAAUUGUUCAUCAACAAAUCAGCAGGGCCGUACUUAGUGUUUUGGCGUCCUCGGAAUACAACUAUUUCCGUCAGCCCCCCUUCUCAUUUUCUCCAUAUUGAUUCGUAAAAAAAAAAAUGCCUGACUGUGUAUUUAUUUAACUCUAUUAUUUUUAAAAAUGGUAGUACUUACUAUACUGCUGUAACUUAAAAGUAGGUA